rnacentral:rRNA from 1 species
GACGAACGCUGGCGGCGUGCUUAACACAUGCAAGUCGAACGGGUCUGCCCUGUUUUUUGCGGGGUGGGUCAGUGGCGAACGGGUGAGUAACACGUGAGUAACCUGCCCCUCACUUCUGGAUAACCGCUUGAAAGGGUGGCUAAUACGGGGUGUUCUGGCUGUGCCGCAUGGUGUGGCUGGGAAAGAUUCACUUUUGUGGUGUUUUGGUGGGGGAUGGGCUCGCGGCCUAUCAGCUUGUUGGUGGGGGGAUGGCCUGCCAAGGCUUUGACGGGUAGCCGGCCUGAGAGGGUGGGCGGUCACACUGGGACUGAGAUACGGCCCAGACUCCUGCGGGAGGCAGCAGUGGGGGGUAUUGCACAAUGGGCGGAAGCCUGAUGCAGCGACGUCGCGUGAGGGAUGGAGGCCUUCGGGUUGUGAACCUCUUUCGCCGGUGAAGAAGGUCCUGCUCUUUGUGGUGGGGUUGACGGUAGCCGGGUUAUGAAGCGCCGGCUAACUACGUG